rnacentral:rRNA from 1 species
GACGAAUGCUGGCGGCGUGCCUAAUACAUGCAAGUUGAGCGAUGAAGAUUGGUGCUUGCACCAAUUUGAAGAGCAGCGAACGGGUGAGUAACGCGUGGGGAAUCUGCCUUUGAGCGGGGGACAACAUUUGGAAGCGAAUGCUAAUACCGCAUAACAACUUUAAACAUAAGUUUUAAGUUUGAAAGAUGCAAUUGCAUUACUCAAAGAUGAUCCCGCGUUGUAUUAGCUAGUUGGUGAGGUAAAGGCGCACCAAGGCGAUGAUACAUAGCCGACCUGAGAGUGUGAUCGGCAAAAUUGGGACUGAGACACGGCCCAAACUCCUACGGGAGGCAGCAGUAGGGAAUCUUCGGCAAUGGACGAAAGUCUGACCGAGCAACGCCGCGUGAGUGAAGAAGGUUUUCGGAUCGUAAAACUCUGUUGGUAGAGAAGAACGUUGGUGAGAGUGGAAAGCUCAUCAAGUGACGGUAACUACCCAGAAAGGGACGGCUAACUACGUGCCAGCCGCCGCCGUAA